rnacentral:misc_RNA from 1 species
AAUAAUAAUUUAAAUCAUAAAAAUAUAGUAUUGCUAAUAUUAAUGAUAAUUAAAAGAAAAUAAAUUAAAUAAUUAGCAUAAAACAGAGUUAUACUCGUUUAUGGAGGGUGCAUGUAACAAUCUCUUUAAAAAAAUUAAAUAAUUAGAUUAAAAGAAAGUUACACACUCGUUAUGGAAGGUGACAUGGCAAAAUUUUGAGAAAAAGUGUCACGUGACAGCAUCAUCAGAAUAUAUGCCUGCUUUAUUUAUAUAUAUAUAUUGAGUUUUGGCCUUGUUGAAAACUUGAGUCCUGAGAUAAUUGCAACAUCUUGUCUGUGUGAGGUGAUAUAGAUACUAUCAUUACUGUUCACAAGUUAUUUUUGUCAAGUUAAAGUUUGAUCAUGCAGCCAUCUGAUGCCCUAGUUGGUUUAGAUCUGCUGCUGCUACUGCUGCUUUAAACAUGCCAAUCUAUGAGCUUUCUUCUCAAUUAGAUGUUUCUUUCUCAUUUUACUUGCUUGAAUCUCAACCCUAAUGUUGUGGACCAUCAAGUUCCAACUCAUGGCAUAUGCAAUCCAGGUCCUAGAGUAGAACUAAUCACUUAGUUAGCUUUGCAUCUCAGGUUUAGCUUCUUUGCUCUUCUUGGUGAUUCAGAAUUUAUCAAUUUAUGACUUGCAGGAAGUGAGAGCUUUGAGAAGAUU